GGGAGAAGGGAAGAAACCAGAAAAAGGGAGCAAGCAGGCGUCGACGCAAGCAGGUCUCUCUCCCGGGAAUGGACCAGAAGACAGAGGAGAGAACAGCGUCGACAGAGCUGCAUGCCCUAACAGAGCUGACAAAUCAAGACAUGCAGAGAGAGAGGAAACGAUCGCUGACGAAGCCGCUCAGAAGACGCCAGACCCGGAGAUGGCGAGCUGCUGCCUCGAGGCCCAGAGAAGUCGUGCAACCGAGCGCAUGUCACGGACAAGCAGACGACGAGAGGGUCCUAAAGGUCGGCGCGCUCUCUUCUCCAGUGAAGUGGACCACAAACGUUUUUACUUGUUCAAAGAAAGAAAACUGCAGCCAAUGGAAAGCGUACACAUUUCCUGAAUCCGAAGCAGCUCUCUCUCUGCACCGUCCUGGCGGGGGGAGACUCCUUGCGCGAGACUCACGGGGUCGCCACUGCUAGACUGGAAAUGGCAGACCACAAUCUGGAAGCCCACGUUGUUUUCUUUUUCUGCUUGCGUUCCGCACGCGUUCAAGCGAAAAGUCAAUGGUGCAGAGUGGAAAAGGGUGCAAUUUGAAGAGGGGAGAAACGAGCAAAAGCGUCUCGCGAGCGUGAGGGGCCCGAGAGUGCCGGCACAACUUCGGGAGGUUGUGAUGAGAAACAAGUGCAGAUUGGUCUGCGCCCAAAUCUCCUCCCUUUCUUCAACUCGCCGAGGAGAAGUCUCGCUGCCCGCUGGUCUUCCUCGUGCGUCCUCGCGGCGUAUUUUCUCUGCCUGUUUUUCCCGUUGUUAAUGCCCGGCAAAAAAACGAGAAUUCAACUCGAGGAUGCCGUAUCGCAGUUGACACUGUGUGUAACAGGGACUCUACCUUCAGUUGCUUUCCAGUCGCCGUUGCACGCUUGUUGACAUCUCGAGCAUGUUUUCCCUCUCGGUCUGCUUUGUCCUGCUUUGCCUCUGCCCCGGUUUAUCGUCCAGGAGUUCUGUUCCCUGUCCCGCCUCUUCUGCGUAUGUCGUGUCUCCGUUUUUGUCGCGGUCUCUCGGCCUCCUCGAUUCUGCCGCUCCUCCUCCUUUUUUCCUCACUGCUUCGCCUGCCUCGCGGUCACCUGGCACUUCUGGCGUCUUGUCUUUUGUGGGAAAGUGGCAAAAAAAGGCGAAGAACGCGGACGAAAAGAGGUGUGUUUUCUCCACUUGUCAUAGUUCCCCUGCAAUCUCCGUGGAAGAAGGAAUUUCCAGAAAGCGCAAAGAAAAGACUUUCGAAACUCAGACGCACGCAGGAGGCAGCAAAGACCAGCACUCGAUUGACGAGAACUGACGUCUUCUCUUCUUUGUUUUCCUGCGGAAAUCGAGGUGGACCUACCUUCGCUUGACUGUGGUGAUGUAAAUUGAAGUAGAUCCGUCUUAUACGAGUGCCAAUCUGGGUGACCUCUGCAUUCGGCGCCCUAAACUAAGUGACCUUUGC
rnacentral:lncRNA from 1 species